rnacentral:rRNA from 1 species
GAUGAACGCUGACAGAAUGCUUAACACAUCAGCAAUUGAUUGGUGGCGGACGGGUGAGUAACGCGUAAAGAACUUGCCUCACAGCUAGGGACAACAUUUAGAAAUGAAUGCUAAUACCUGAUACUGUGAGAGAGCUUUGCGUCCCAUUAGCUAGUUGGCGAGGUAACAGCUACCCAAGGCGAGGAUGGGUAGCCGGCCUGAGAGGGUGAACGGCCACAAGGGGACUGAGACACGGCCGUUACUGCGACGGGAGGCAGCAGUGGGGAAUAUUGGACAAUGGGCCGAAGUCUGAUGCAGCAAUUCGGUGUGCACGAUGAAGUUUUAGGAAAGUAAAGUGAUUUCAGUUGGUAAGCGGUACCAACAGAAGAAGUGACGGCUAAAUACGUGCCAGCAGCCGCGGUAAUAC